rnacentral:rRNA from 1 species
GACGAACGCUGGCGGCGUGCCUAAUACAUGCAAGUUGAGCGCUGAAGGUUGGUACUUGUACCAACUGGAUGAGCAGCGAACGGGUGAGUAACGCGUGGGGAAUCUGCCUUUGAGCGGGGGACAACAUUUGGAAACGAAUGCUAAUACCGCAUAAAAACUUUAAACACAAGUUUUAAGUUUGAAAGAUGCAAUUGCAUCACUCAAAGAUGAUCCCGCGUUGUAUUAGCUAGUUGGUGAGGUAAAGGCUCACCAAGGCGAUGAUACAUAGCCGACCUGAGAGGGUGAUCGGCCACAAUGGGACUGAGACACGGCCCAAACUCCUACGGGAGGCAGCAGUAGGGAAUCUUCGGCAAUGGACGAAAGUCUGACCGAGCAACGCCGCGGGAGUGAAGAAGGGUUUCGGAUCGUAAAACUCUGUUGGUAGAGAAGAACGUUGGUGAGAGUGGAAAGCUCAUCAAGUGACGGUAACUACCCAGAAAGGGACGGCUAACUACGUG